GCUGAGACAUAAGCCCACCCACACACCACAAAACAACUAUAAGCCUACUACCAAACCAUUUGCCAAAGUUAGUAAAUGCGAUUAAACCCCAUCCCCAGGCGCAAACUAGUACCGUAAGGGAACAAUGAAAAAACAAUGAAAACUUCAAGCACAACACAGCAAAGAUAAUCCCUUGUACCUUCUGCAUCAUGGUUUAGCAAACAACAUCAGACAAAGAGAACUUAAGUCCGCCCUCCCGAAACUAAACGAGCUAUUUUUGAGCAGCAAACUAGAGCACACCCGUCCCUGUAGCAAAAGGGUGGGAAGACUUAAAAAUAGGGGUAAAAAACCAACCGAGUUUAGUGAUAGCUGGUUACUCAACAAAUGAACUUAAGUUCAACUUUAGGCCCAACAAAACAAACUAAAGUGUUACAUUCAACCUAAAGACAUUCAAUGGGGGUACAGCCCCAUUGAACCGGGAUACAGCCCGAACUGAGAGAACAAAAUUUUACCUUUCUCAUAAGUAGGCCUCUAAGCAGCCACCAACAACCAACCGCGUUACAGCACACCAAAAAAAAUUCCACAAACAAUCAUAACCCUCCAAAAACAUGAAGAGUUGCCCUAUAAUCAUAUAGAGACACCAAUGCUAAAACUAGUAAUAAGAGCCCCCUCUCUAAUGCACCCUCUUAAGUCAGAAAGGAAACACCACUGACAAUUACCAGACCACCCCAACUACAACCGCCGAUUUAGACACAAAUGUAAUACUAACCCUGUUAACCCGACACAGGAGUGCAAUAAAAGAAAGACAAAAAGCUGCAAAAGGAACUCGGCAACAAAAGUCCCAACUGUUUACCAAAAACAUAGCCUUUAGCCUCACAAGUAUUAAAGGUCCCGCCUGCCCAGUGAUAUUUUUAAACGGCCGCGGUAUCCUAACCGUGCAAAGGUAGCAUAAUCACUUGUCCCCUAAAUAGGGACUAGUAUGAACGGCUAAAUGAGGACCUUACUGUCUCUUGCCGCCAGUCAAUGAAACUGAUCUCCCAGUCCAAAAGCUGGAAUAACUCCAUAAGACAAAAAGACCCUGUGGAGCUUUAAAACCAAAACCACCUACAAUUGUCCACUUGGUUUUUAGUUGGGGCGACUUCGGAGCAAAGACAAACCUCCGAAACAAUGGACCUCACCAUAUCAAGGCCAACACGCCAAAAUAACCAAAACUUGACCCAGACCUUAAUUUCUGACCAAUGAACCAAGUUACCCCAGGGAUAACAGCGCCAUCUUCUUUUAGAGUCCCUAUCGACAAGAAGGUUUACGACCUCGAUGUUGGAUCAGGACACCCCAAUAGUGCAGCCGCUAUUAAAGGUUCGUUUGUUCAACGAUUAACAGUCCUACGUGAUCUGAGUUCAGACCGGAGCAAUCCAGGUCGGUUUUUAUCUAUGUACGUGCCAUUUUCAGUACGAAAGGAUCAAAAUUGCAGGACCCAUACUAUAAAGCACGUCCUAAGAACAAACCAUUGAAUACAUCUAAAGUGGUCAACACACCACCCACCCUACCCAAUAUAAGGGAUU
rnacentral:rRNA from 1 species